rnacentral:rRNA from 1 species
UAGCAAUACGAUGGAAAGUCUAGUGGCGAACGGGUGCUUAACACGUGGGCAACCUGCCAGGAAGUGGGGGAUAGCUCGCCGAAAGGCGAAUUAAUACCGCAUGUGAUUAGAGAGGACAUCCUUUCGAAAUUAAAGUCGGGGCAACCUGACGCUUCUUGUGGGGCCCGCGGCCUAUCAGCUAGUUGGUGAGGUAACGGCUCACCAAGGCGUUGACGGGUAGCUGGUCUGAGAGGACGACCAGCCACACUGGGACUGAGACACGGCCCAGACACCUACGGGUGGCAGCAGUCGAGAAUUUUUGACAAUGGGGGAAACCCUGAUCGAGCGACGCCGCGUGGAGGAUGAAGGUCUUCGGAUUGUAAACUCCUGUCAUUGGGGAACAAUGCGUGAUGGUUAACUGCCGUUGCGUUGAUAGUACCCGAAGAGGAAGAGACGGCUAACUCUGUGCCAGCAGCCGCGGUAAUACAGAGGUCUCAAGCGUUGUUCGGAUUCAUUGGGCGUAAAGGGUGCGUAGGCGGCGCGGUAAGUCGGGUGUGAAAUCUCGGAGCUCAACUCCUAAACUGCACUGGAUACUGCUCUGCUAGAGGACCGGAGAGGAGACUGGAAUUCUCGGUGUAGCA